UACGUAGGGUGCGAGCGUUGUCCGGAAUUAUUGGGCGUAAAGGGCUCGUAGGCGGUUUGUCGCGUCGGGAGUGAAACCACCGGGCUUAACUCGGUGCUUGCUUUCGAUACGGGCAGACUAGAGGCAUGCAGGGGAGAACGGAAUUCCUGGUGUAGCGGUGAAAUGCGCAGAUAUCAGGAGGAACACCGGUGGCGAAGGCGGUUCUCUGGGCAUGUCCUGACGCUGAGGAGCGAAAGUGUGGGGAGCGAACAGG
rnacentral:rRNA from 1 species